rnacentral:rRNA from 1 species
UGAGGAAUAUUGGUCAAUGGGCGAGAGCCUGAGCCAGCCAAGUAGCGUGAAGGAUGACUGCCCUAUGGGUUGUAAACUUCUUUUAUAAAGGAAUAAAGUCGGGUAUGGAUACCCGUUUGCAUGUACUUUAUGAAUAAGGAUCGGCUAACUCCGUGCCAGCAGCCGCGGUAAUACGGAGGAUCCGAGCGUUAUCCGGAUUUAUUGGGUUUAAAGGGAGCGUAGAUGGAUGUUUAAGUCAGUUGUGAAAGUUUGCGGCUCAACCGUAAAAUUGCAGUUGAUACUGGAUAUCUUGAGUGCAGUUGAGGCAGGCGGAAUUCGUGGUGUAGCGGUGAAAUGCUUAGAUAUCACGAAGAACUCCGAUUGCGAAGGCAGCCUGCUAAGCUGCAACUGACAUUGAGGCUCGAAAGUGUGGGUAUCAAACAGGAUUAGAUACCCUGGUAGUCCACACGGUAAACGAUGAAUACUCGCUGUUUGCGAUAUACUGCAAGCGGCCAAGCGAAAGCGUUAAGUAUUCCACCUGGGGAGUACGCCGGCAACGGUGAAACUCAAAGGAAUUGACGGGGGCCCGCACAAGCGGAGGAACAUGUGGUUUAAUUCGAUGAUACGCGAGGAACCUUACCCGGGCUUAAAUUGCAGAUGAAUUACGGUGAAAGCCGUAAGCCGCAAGGCAUCUGUGAAGGUGCUGCAUGGUUGUCGUCAGCUCGUGCCGUGAGGUGUCGGCUUAAGUGCCAUAACGAGCGCAACCCUUGUUGUCAGUUACUAACAGGUUCCGCUGAGGACUCUGACAAGACUGCCAUCGUAAGAUGUGAGGAAGGUGGGGAUGACGCCAAAUCAGCACGGCCCUUACGUCCGGGGCUACACACGUGUUACAAUGGGGGGUACAGAGGGCCGCUACCACGCGAGUGGAUGCCAAUCCCCAAAACCUCUCUCAGUUCGGACUGGAGUCUGCAACCCGACUCCACGAAGCUGGAUUCGCUAGUAAUCGCGCAUCAGCCACGGCGCGGUGAAUACGUUCCC